UACGUAGGAUCCAAGCGCUAUCCGGAAUUACUGGGCGUAAAGCGUGCGCAGACGGUUUAGUAGGUCUCAUGCGAAAUCCGGUGGCUCAACCACCUGGACUGUAUGGGAAACCACUUCACUUGAGGUAGGUAGAGGUACAUGGAAUUUCUGGUGUAGGAGUGACAUCCGUAGAUAUCAGAAGGAACACCAAUGGCGAAGGCAGUGUACUGGGCCUUACCUGACGUUCAGGCACGAAAGCGUGGGGAGCAAACAGG
rnacentral:rRNA from 1 species